rnacentral:rRNA from 1 species
GUCGAAUCAGGUAGGGAUACCGGCUGAACUUAACCAUAUCGUUAACCGAAGGAA